UUAACUAUUAUAUAGUACUCAGACGACACCAAUAUUCAGAGUUUAGGGGUCCUUUGGCGGGCCGCUUCGGCUACCGGCUCUGGCUGGUAAGUGCCCGCCAAAGCAACAAUGGUAUAGUAUUCAAGGGUGGGAGAUCUACCCGUGAGGGCAUGAACUCUGUAAUGAUCCUUCCGCAGGUUCACCUACGGAAA
rnacentral:misc_RNA from 1 species